GACGAACGCUGGCGGCGUGCUUAACACAUGCAAGUCGAACGGAAAGGCCCUGCUUUUGUGGGGUGCUCGAGUGGCGAACGGGUGAGUAACACGUGAGUAACCUGCCCUUGACUUUGGGAUAACUUCAGGAAACUGGGGCUAAUACCGGAUAGGAGCUCCUGCUGCAUGGUGGGGGUUGGAAAGUUUCGGCGGCUGGGGAUGGACUCGCGGCUUAUCAGCUUGUUGGUGGGGUAGUGGCUUACCAAGGCUUUGACGGGUAGCCGGCCCGAGAGGGUGACCGGCCACAUUGGGACUGAGAUACGGCCCAGACUCCUACGGGAGGCAGCAGUGGGGAAUAUUGCACAAUGGGCGGAAGCCUGAUGCAGCAACGCCGCGUGCGGGAUGACGGCCUUCGGGUUGUAAACCGCUUUCGCCUGUGACGAAGCGUGAGUGACGGUAAUGGGUAAAGAAGCACCGGCUAACUACGUG
rnacentral:rRNA from 1 species